GCAAAUAUUUCAGAAAAAGUUGAGACAGUAACAGGACAAACGUUCCUGCAAAGCACGAGAAUUUGAUACAGUAUCAAUGGCAAAUAAACUGUUCCUAACUUGACCUUAAUUGGUAGGCUACUCUGUUAGCAUAAGUUGUAAAGUUAUAAAGUUUGGAGUGCCUCAAGGCUCAAUCAUUGGUCUUCUUGUUUACAAAAUGACCUUCCAGAAGACAAAUGCUUGUAUAUUUGCCAAUGAUACAUCACUAUACUCAGCUUGUGUUUGUUUUUGUUGAUUCUCGGCGCCUUGCGGUGUUCAUAAUUUUCUACCUGAUAUCUUUGGAUUGCCUUGAAUCUUUGCAAUAUUCUGCUGUCUAGCUUUAACCAGAGCAUGGUAGGGCACAUCACGUAAACGAAUUAUAGAGAACAAGGCUGGAAAUUGUUAACUGACAGAAGGAGGUCUCUAGGACCCCCCAUUCUAAUUGUCUUGGCCCCACUCAGGUUACCUGACCUCUCUUUUACCUGAGUAAAACAGCUAUAAAUUAUCUAAGAUAUCUACCUAGCUAUCUCUCACCUAAGCAGGGGAUUGAUGUUUGCAAAAACUUUUCUUCCCUAAUUCUAUUAGCUAUGGAAUAAUCUUGUUGAUGGAAUAUGUGAAUCACCAUCUUUGUCAAAUUUCAAAGGUUGUUAUGUUUAGUCUUACUCAAGCAAACAUAUUUUAGGCAUUCACAGCCCCGAUCGAUUAAGAGAUUGCCAAGCAGAGAGUUAGAAGGAAUUCAAGUUAUGGUGUCGAGGCCACUGUCAAUUUCUUGCUGCUCUGCCAUAAACACUUCGUACAGAUCGGUUUCUUGAUAAGGUGUCAAACGUACCUGUUUUAUAUGAUUUACGUUAUUCCUUUCUUCAUUGCGAGUUAUAUCAAAUUGAAAUGGAGAUGAAGCUUAACAAAUUCUUCAUUUAAACCUGUGCUGGCGGCCUUAUAUUCCCAUUCCACUAUAUCUUCAGCAUUUGGUUGUUUCUCUUUCCCUUCAUGGGCCAAAAGUGUGAGAAUUCCAGCCUGUUUUAGCUUCAAUGUAGCCACCCACCGUAUCUGGAUUGGAAAGUAGUUUUGUUUUAGCGUAUUUUAUAUGAAUUGUCUGUAUUGUAUAGUUUUAAGAACAUAUGGUCUGUGUUUCGCAAAACUUUCGAAUACAAGGAGAACGGGCUAGCCGGGAUCCCGUCUUCUGCCAACCAGGCUAGCCUGGCAAAGAGGGCAGAAAUUUAAAGUUUUUGCUUAUGUAAUCGAUUCAAGACGGGCUGGCUCGUGCGUGAUUCAAGACGUGAAUUUGACAACGCGCGCGCUUUCGGGCUGGCUCACGCGCUAUUAAAUGGAACUGAGGAAGAACCAAAGAGCACUGGGUGAAAGGUUAAAAAAGACGCAUCAAAGGUUCAAGUGGACUGAAGAUACAGUCAAAGAAUUGCUGCAAGCACUGUACGGAUACAAGAGCAUGCUGGCAUACAAUAAGAAAGCUUAUCCUAAUGUUUUUUGAAGAGCGUAAAAGCAUAAGUCAAGCCAUGAAGCUGAUAUAACAACGAUGUAAACAAUCCAAAAUGUUGAAUCAUAGACUUCAUAGCUGAAAAACAUUUCUUGGGUUCACAUGGAUUGGAUAUCGCAAUAUCAAUUAGUGAGGGCAUCGAAUGUCACAAAAGAAUAAUCACUAUGGGUGUAGAGGAUGACUAUAUGAAAAACUCUGACGAGACUAAAUUCUUCGUAGAUUGGCAAUGAUGAAAUGCAUUCAGUGAUAAGCACACUCACACCAGAACAGAGAAAAAGCUAUCGUAGAUAAUUUCAAAUCAAACUAAUUUGCUUUCGCAAUGACAUCAUGAGUUAUUUUCGCCCUUUAUAAAUUUGAUAAAUAUUUUCAAGGAAAACCUCAAUUUUUCUUCGGCUUUCAAUUGCAUACAAGCUCAUCAAACAAAAGAGCUGAACAGACGAAACAUUUCUAAAUUAAAAUGACCGUGAUGUAAAAAACAUUUACCUUCAUCUGCAAACAUUGUUGCGUGCAAAAUUAUUGUUUUCGUCUGUGUCCAGACAGCUGAAUAAACAGGGUCUUAUUGGCCUAAGCAUCUUCGGCGCAUAAAGUGUUCGAAAUAAAUCCCUGCAAAAGUCGAAUAGAUGACUAAAUGAUUGCUUUUUCAUAAAAACAUGAUCUGAGCGUAAUCAUGUCUGAUUCUUAUUUGUAGCGCUAUGUUAAGGAGAUUUUUGUUAAUCUGCGCAAUAGUAUAGAAUAAAGAGGAGAAAUGAAGAAAUCAACGCUUCACCGAGAAAUGAAGAAAAAAACCCCACAUGAUCACCAAUUUCAUCGAGAAAUCAUUACUAUCAACCCUUUUGUCAUUUACUGAAUUUAUGUAAUAAGCCAAAACCAUAGCUCUUUAUCAAAAAUCCUUGUUAACUGAAACUUUUAAAGCUAAAAACAUAUAAAACUUAAGGUGCAAUAAAGCAUAAAGUUUAGAAUGUUUUGCGAAGUGGUUUGACCUAAAUUUAUAUAUCAAAUGUUGUAGCUUCAUUUUCUGGUUGCGAGAUUUCACUAAUUUAAUUAAUUGCCUUCAAAAAUUCAUCUUAA